UAGAGUUUGACCUGGCUCAGAACGAACGCUGNCGGCAGGCUUAACACAUGCAAGUCGAGGCCCCGCAAGGGGAGCGGCAGACGGGUGAGUAACGCGUGGGAAUCUACCUUUUCUACGGAAUAACGCAGGGAAACUUGUGCUAAUACCGUAUACGCCCUCGGGGGAAAGAUUUAUCGGGAAAGGAUGAGCCCGCGUUGGAUUAGCUAUUGGUGGGGUAAAGGCCUACCAAGGCGACGAUCCAUAGCUGGUCUGAGAGAUGAUCAGCCACACUGGGACUGAGACACGGCCCAGACUCCUACGGGAGCAGCAGUGGGGAAUUUUGGACAAUGGGCGAAAGCCUGAUCCAGCCAUGCGCGUGCAGGAUGAAGGCCUUCGGGUUGUAAANNGCUUUUGNACGGAANGANAGCCUCUUUNUAAUANANAGGGGUCAUGACGGUACCGUNAGAAUAAGACCGGCUAACUUCGUGCCAGCAGCCGCGGUAAUACGUAGGGUGCAAGCGUAAUCGGAAUUACUGGGCGUAAAGCGUGCGNAGGCGGUUUUGUAAGUCAAGGUGAAAUCCCCGGGCUCAACCUGGGAACUGCCUUUGUGACUGCAAGGUAGAGUACGGCAGA
rnacentral:rRNA from 1 species